rnacentral:rRNA from 1 species
GACGAACCGUGCGAACGUUAUUCGGAAUCACUGGGCUUAAAGCGCGUGUAGGCGGGUCGGCGCGUCGGGCGCUGAAAUCCCCCGGCUCAACCGGGGAAGGGGCGCCGAGACGGCCGGCCUGGAGGGACGUAGGGGGGGCUGGAACUUCCGGUGGAGCGGUGAAAUGCGUUGAUAUCGUUUGGAACACCAAUAGCGUAGGCAGGCUUCUGGGUGCCACUUGACACUGCUAGGACGAAAGCGUGGGUAGCGAAUGGG